rnacentral:rRNA from 1 species
UUAGAGUUUGAUCCUGGCUCAGGAUGAACGCUGGCGGCGUGCUUAACACAUGCAAGUCGAACGGGGUACCCCCAAAGGAGUUUUCGGACAACUGCGGGGAAUACCUAGUGGCGGACGGGUGAGUAACGCGUGAGUAACCUGCCUUGGAGUGGGGAAUAACAGCUGGAAACAGCUGCUAAUACCGCAUAAUGCAGUUGGGUCGCAUGGCUCUGACUGCCAAAGAUUUAUCGCUCUGAGAUGGACUCGCGUCUGAUUAGCUAGUUGGUGGGGCAACGGCCCACCAAGGCGACGAUCAGUAGCCGGACUGAGAGGUUGGCCGGCCACAUUGGGACUGAGACACGGCCCAGACUCCUACGGGAGGCAGCAGUGGGGAAUAUUGGGCAAUGGGCGCAAGCCUGACCCAGCAACGCCGCGUGAAGGAAGAAGGCUUUCGGGUUGUAAACUUCUUUUCUCAGGGACGAAGCAAGUGACGGUACCUGAGGAAUAAGCCACGGCUAACUACGUGCCAGCAGCCGCGGUAAUACGUAGGUGGCAAGCGUUAUCCGGAUUUACUGGGUGUAAAGGGCGUGUAGGCGGGAAAGCAAGUCAGAUGUGAAAACCAUGGGCUCAACCUGUGGCCUGCAUUUGAAACUGUUUUUCUUGAGUACUGGAGAGGCAGACGGAAUUCCUAGUGUAGCGGUGAAAUGCGUAGAUAUUAGGAGGAACACCAGUGGCGAAGGCGGUCUGCUGGACAGCAACUGACGCUGAGGCGCGAAAGCGUGGGGAGCAAACAGGAUUAGAUACCCUGGUAGUCCACGCUGUAAACGAUGGAUACUAGGUGUGGGGGGACUGACCCCCUCCGUGCCGCAGCUAACGCAAUAAGUAUCCCACCUGGGGAGUACGAUCGCAAGGUUGAAACUCAAAGGAAUUGACGGGGGCCCGCACAAGCGGUGGAGUAUGUGGUUUAAUUCGAAGCAACGCGAAGAACCUUACCAGGGCUUGACAUCCUACUAACGAGGUAGAGAUACGUUAGGUGCCCUUCGGGGAAAGUAGAGACAGGUGGUGCAUGGUUGUCGUCAGCUCGUGUCGUGAGAUGUUGGGUUAAGUCCCGCAACGAGCGCAACCCUUAUUGUUAGUUGCUACGCAAGAGCACUCUAGCGAGACUGCCGUUGACAAAACGGAGGAAGGUGGGGACGACGUCAAAUCAUCAUGCCCCUUACGUCCUGGGCCACACACGUACUACAAUGGCGGCCAACAAAGAGAGGCGAGACCGCGAGGUGGAGCAAAUCUCAAAAAGCCGUCCCAGUUCGGAUCGCAGGCUGCAACCCGCCUGCGUGAAGUUGGAAUCGCUAGUAAUCGCGGAUCAGCAUGCCGCGGUGAAUGCGUUCCCGGGCCUUGUACACACCGCCCGUCA